UUUCUCUCUCUGGAUAUCCCUGCCUACCUGAGGCCUUCUGAAGGCUGCAUUGCAGAGAGAUGAAAUCAGUACUGGCAAGCCCGGACCUCCUAAUGAUGUACACGGAAUGGAAGUGCGCUAAUCCAUCGCAGCCCACCUCCUGCUAACAGGAUUUGCAGGAGCCUGAAGCAGGUUUGUCCAGCUUCCAGGAUGAGGAAUUUCCAGUGCCUGGUCUGCAUUGCCACAUGCUCAGGUUUCAAUCUAGGAAAAGGAAAUAAAGAACUCCAGAGUCUAACACAAAAGAUAAUUACAUCUCUCUCUCAGUAAAAAGAUCCAUACCUUCAUUGCUGUAAUACAGUGCAGCAGUAUCUUUAAUCCCGCUCUUUACAUUGCCCUUUAAUCCUAUUAAAUCCCAUUUAACAAGUGUUUCUGUUAAUGUCAUGAUCCUGAAGUGACCGGAACGAAGGUGAUCUUUUGGCUCUUUCCCAAACUUAGGUAGCUUAGGAAAUGCUCAGGAAGCCACAUUUAAAAGACAAUGGAGGGCUGGCAAGCCAUUGCGUUCAUCUCAUUAAGUCUGAUUAAAUAGGGGAAUUUAAUAUUAAUUUCAUUUUCAUAUAUCCAAAUUAGAACGCAGCAGAGAAGAAAACAACAUAAUCUGAUUAAACAAAUUUAAAUCACACUGCUAACAUUGCCCUUUGGUGUUUAUUUACUUUUAGCCGCAGUAGCUUAAAACAUCCCAGCAAACCAGCUCCCAGCUGUAGCUCCCAUCUCAGCACCCAUUGCAGGGCUGCCCCAUGCCCCAGAAGACCCCAGCUCUGGGAUGUACAUGAAUCCCUUCAUAUCCAACACAUUGGUAACCACAUGCUUCCCUCUGCACUCUGCAGUCCUUUAGCCCCAGCUGAGCCAUGGUUUCCACAGCCACCU
ensembl:lncRNA